CCAGAAGCCGCCCGAAUGAAAAAAAGACCCCGGCUCGACCCCAGUUGUCCCGAACCUCCCCCGAACCGAUCCUCCAGCCCCCCGUCGCCGCGCCGUGAUGCAACCCCAGGCCCCGGUCGCCGCGCCCCCAGGGCCUCGCCGCCGCGCCGCGAUGCCACCUCUGCUGCGACCCUAGGGUCCGGCCGCCGCGCCGCCAGGCCACCUCCGCCGUGCCGCCAGGCCCCAGCCGCCGCACUACCAGGCCACCUCCGCCGCGCCGCCAACCUUCCUUGGCUGCGCUGUCAGGCCCUACGUCGCCGCCGCACUACUCCAGCCAGCGUCCCACCGUGCCACGCUGCUCCAGCCGGCCUUCCACCGCGCUGUGCUUCCCCAGCCCGCCUCGCAAUGCGACGCUGCCCCAGGCCGUUCACGGCCGCUACCCCAGUCUGUUCACCACUGCCAACCAAGGCCGUUCAAUGAUGGGUCGGUCAACAAAAGCAAUGACCUGAGGGAAGAAGACGGAGCUAAAAUGAUUCAGUUCAUCAUUGGCACCCUAUAACCCAAACAGUGAAGAACACACCCCUUGUACUUUUGCUCUUGUUCCUUCUGUCUCCUGAAUUCCACUCUUGAUGAGCAUGCUUGGUACUAGAUAGAUACUGCUGUCGUAGUUCUAAUACAAUAUAUUACAACAAUUCAUUGACAAAAAUUGUCAAUUCAUAUAUGUAUGCAGCGGCUGUUCUGAUACUACUUCAGUAACCAGAAAAACACAAAAGUUCAACUAUACUUAUACAAAAUAGUUUAAUAUUUUAUUCUAUGACACUCAAGAAAAACAGAAAUAAAAGAGGUUCAUCAUGUGAUGAACAAUAGUCCCAACAAGUGUGCUAGAGAUGCAAAAAAAUUGAUGGCAUAGUCGAUGCUAUUUUUCAUCCAAUUUCUGAAGAAAACUAAAGUUGAUCAGAGUAACUGAAGAAUAAUCUAUUAGUUCUCGAGUAUGUGUAAUGAUGCCAUUUUACUGUGCAUUUGUUUCCAUCGCGACGGAUGUAUUCCAAGAUAUGGUUGUAUCAUUGUGUUGAAUAAAAAUACCAUGUUGCUGCAACAUUUUCUGUCAGCUCCUGUCAAGCAAUACAUGUAUGUGAGCAUCCUUCUAUGUAGUAAGUUCAUAGUCGAGAAGUCAGGAACUUCGGAAAAAGAACGUGAACAUAAAAAAACCAUAAAAACCUGAACCUUAUCUUAGGGGAGUUCAAGAAGUCCGUGUCUAGCCGUCUGUGGUGUGUAUUCUUAUCAGUUCAUAGUCGAGAAGACAUGUAUUCUUAUCAGUUUAUUUUUCUAGCUGGCAGUUUUGUGUAUUUGGUUAGUUUGUGUGUGUAUAUGUUGCCAUCGUGGUAUACGAGAGACCACCCCACGAGAAAGUCGCCGAUCUGGUCGAGGCAUGCUCCUGUUCUCUGUUUUCAGUUGCACAAACAUUUAAAAGUUCGAACACCAAACCCUGGUAAGUUCUCCUUACAAAAACUCAUCUCUCAUAUUUGUUCCUAUUUUUGUAGGUUCCAGUUAAAACAAGAUGCAUAACUUCAUCAUUUGUAUGCUUUUUAGUUCAUCUACUUCCCGAUGGUGAGUCUGAUUUCCUUCGUGUUUCCAUUUUCUUCAUAUAGCACAAACAAGUACUUGUGGUUAUGCUUGAGAAUGAGCACCAUACCGUUCACCGCCACCACACCGGGUCGUUCAACGACACAACCCGAAGUAGUUCGACGUCGCAGCUCGGGAGGCACACACUUCACCCCUCCAUCCCAGGAGAGCAGUACAUCUUGUGCGCGAGCAGUCCGUUGCUGAUGUACACUGCUGCUCUAAGCUCCUUGGCCACUACUCCAGUAUGUCCAGCAUCGUCCCCAGUCCAGCCCCAUGGCAUUCGGACGGUCGAGUUCAUGCCGAGCAGCAGUCCACGCCCAUCAGCUCCUAUUUCCACUAUAGUGGUUGGGUUGCCGUUUUCCUCAUCCUUCUCGGUGCGCGACAACCCAGCCCACAUGUUGCUGCCGUCCGCCACCCCAAAUAGCUUUGGCUGUUCCUCAAGCAACCAUUUGGAGAACCUUUUGGUGUUUUUCUACUGGUGAUUGAUUUUAGCAAUUUGUAGCUAUCUGCGUAUGGAAUCUGAAAGUUCAAGAUUGCUGCAGAUUCAAUUCUUGUAGUACAAAUGUCCCAGAGUUUAGUGACAUCUGUAAUUGAGGUACUAUGGUCUUGCAUCUCCAAUGUAUGUUGCUGAGCAUCCUCCCAAUCCGCUCGAUCAACUUCUUAUUCCACCUCCAAAAAAAAUUCUUUUUGAGUUCUAUCCUUCGUCACAGGUUCACCGCUAUUACCUCAGUGCAAACGUGCCAAAGAGUUUAGUUCAGACUAUACUAAAUGUCCAUAUUAUAGAUAAUAUUUGCAUUGUCUUAAAUUUCUGGAAACAAGCUUCAGUACAAGAAAAAUGGGCCAGUUAGUUCAUCCAUAUCCAAACCCCCGUCGACGUGCGGCGGCAGGAAACAUUUUCAGGUUGUUUUCUUUCUCUCUUUGCUUAGCACAAAAUUGCGCAAAUGCCUAGCAGAAAAAGAACUUGUUCGUAUACAUAGGUAGGUUCACGAAAUAUUGUAGUAGUACUUUGGUGAAAGGAUUCACAUCAGUUCAAUCAUUUUUGAAUGUUCAGUAAAAGUUCAAAUAGAGCAGAGGCUUUCACCUCAUUCGAAAAAGCCUAAAAAGCAACAGUACAAUGAUAGAAAAAAAUCAGUUCAAAAAAAUAUGCUGGAGGUUUGUCGGAAUGGCAGAAAAACAUCAGUUCAAUUUUUCUGUACCAUCGCUUCUAUUGCUAAAUGUUUUAGUCACUUGUUUUCUUGAUGCCAUCAGGUAUUUCCUUAAAUACUUCGGUCUUGUGCAGCUGGUACUAGUGUGAAUGGGUAGCAAGUUGAACUACCAAUCCACACCAAGUUCAGACCUCUUUUUGGAAUUGGGCCUGCCCCAUGAUCCGGCGUCGCCCUCCGCUGCCUCAGCACGCAGGCCGUUCACCUUCACCACCCCUGGCCGUUCACCACCACCACCAGCGCCCGUUCAAUGCCGCCCCAACAACCCAGUGCGACUUUGUCUCUCUCAACUUAAAAAGCGGUUCAGCUCAGUGCAUGUCAGACAUUAAAGCAAUAUUCUGUAGUAGCUUCAAAAAAUGCAAAUGGUCAUGUUUCCACAAGACUGACGGAACACUGCCAAUUGAAUUGAGCACUAGCGGAACUGUGAAGCACUGACGAAACACUACCAAUUGAAUUGAACGUUGACCACGUCUCCACCCUCCCCACGCCCGCCAAUGCUGCGACCACCCCUCCCCCUCACGAUUUCUCGUUGAUAUCGCUGUAUUCAUGCUUGUUACGUGAGUUGCCUGAUGGAAGUUCUGCAACUGUCAGUCCAGAUGGAAGAAGGAGAUCCAUCCAAAGUGUGAGUUUUGCGACGUCGACGUGCAAGUUCUACAAUUAUCUGUCCAGAUGGGAGAAGGAGAUCAAUCCAACCGACGCAUCUAAAGCGACAUAUGCAGAGCCAUUCGUCUGAGUUCAUAGGCUUCUUAAAAUUUCUAAUAUAAACAAGCUGGUGGCCGCCCAUCUCUGCAUGUAUUUUAUUUCGGAUAGCCAAAUCCUGGCGCGCCCAGCCGCUGCUCGUGAACCCCGCCUCCAUCAGCUCCACUUCACUGGAGCCGUCAGUCCACAGGAAUAGGGGUAGCGGAUCCCCUAUAGCGGUCAAAUCCCGGUGCGCCCAGCCGCUGCUUGUGAACCUCGCCUCCAUCAGCUCCACUUCACCAGAGCCGUCAGUCCGCAGGAGUAGGGGUAGCAGGUUCACCCAACGUCCGACGCCUUCUUCCAUCUCCAAAAAUCUUGUUUUUUGAGUUCAGUUCUUCGUCACAUGUUUCACUAGCUGAAAAAUGCAUGGUGUUCUGAAAUUGCUUGCGGACCACUAGCUGAAAUUGCUUGACGAACAAAAGCAAAGGUUUUAUCUUCAUCUACUAUUUUUUCAGAUAUUCGUCAUAUGCACGAGCAUGACUAUAUUUGCUUGUUAUGAUCUAGUGGGCAACAUUAACAUUUGGGUAGUCCUUCUGCAGGGCCCAAACCCACUGUCGUGCAAGAAAAAGAAAGCAAAGCCCCAACCAUCAGCUGCUCAAUCAUCAGAACUAAUAGUAAGAUGGAGAAGAGAUAAUGCAACAAAAAUCUUAGAUGGGGCAGUGAAGUCCAUUGCGCAUUCUGAUUUUUUGUAGCUCCGGACAUCAGUUGUAUUGAGACAUGGAUGGCUCUACACCUGAAGUACAUAUAUCUGACAAGCAUGAUCACAUGUUCCCUUUAGAGUCUGAUGGUCGAUGGAGAGGCGAAGCGAAAGACGGUUAGGAAGCGCAAGAGAAGUGGCAAAGACAGUAGGUCCAUGUGUAUUUAACAGCAAGUCCAUGUAUUACUACAUGAGAAGUACUGCUAGUGAGACUUCACUGCCCCAUUUCAACAAACUUGUAUACGCAAUCCUAGUUUGACAAAGUACUCUACUGCCGCUGGUUUCAGUUCCCUCACUGGAUUUGCAGGCUCACGACCAUCCUCCAACACCCCGUCAGUGCCACUGAUUUGAAGGACCUCGGUGAGCGUGUACUUCUCCUGCACCAGAGAGGUUUGGACAGACGCUGAUCACUAGCUCUCUAUGACGCCACCGAUCACUAGAACGAAGAACACCAGCAGGAUGAGAAUGAAGUACAUGACAUAGACAAUGAGGACGACCAAAACAUGGAAUCCGUACACAUAGCACCAACUGCAAAUUCGAACUUUCUGUCUAUGAUGAUUUGAUUGCUACUUCUUAAAGAAAGUGUACAUAACAGUUAGAUGUUUGUGCUAGAAAGGAAAACUUGUUUGAAUUAAAAACAUUGACCAGUACGAAUCAAAAACAUUGAUCA